rnacentral:rRNA from 1 species
GGUUAAGCGACUAAGCGUACACGGUGGAUGCCCUGGCAGUCAGAGGCGAUGAAGGACGUGCUAAUCUGCGAAAAGCGUCGGUAAGGUGAUAUGAACCGUUACAGCCGGCGAUGUCCGAAUGGGGAAACCCAGUGCAAUUCGUUGCACUAUCGUUAACUGAAUACAUAGGUUAACGAGGCGAACCGGGGGAACUGAAACAUCUAAGUACCCCGAGGAAAAGAAAUCAACCGAGAUUCCCCCAGUAGCGGCGAGCGAACGGGGAGCAGCCCAGAGUCUGAAUCAGCUUGUGUGUUAGUGGAACGGUCUGGAAAGUCCGACGGUACAGGGUGAUAGUCCCGUACACCAAAAUGCACAGGUUGUGAACUCGAAGAGUAGGGCGGGACACGUGGUAUCCUGUCUGAAUAUGGGGGGACCAUCCUCCAAGGCUAAAUACUCCUGACUGACCGAUAGUGAACCAGUACCGUGAGGGAAAGGCGAAAAGAACCCCGGCGAGGGGAGUGAAAAAGAACCUGAAACCGUGUACGUACAAGCAGUGGGAGCACCUUCGGGUGUGACUGCGUACCUUUUGUAUAAUGGGUCAGCGACUUAUAUUCUGUAGCAAGGUUAACCGUAUAGGGGAGCCGCAGGGAAACCGAGUCUUAACUGGGCGUUAAGUUGCAGGGUAUAGACCCGAAACCCGGUGAUCUAGCCAUGGGCAGGUUGAAGGUUGGGUAACACUAACUGGAGGACCGAACCGACUAAUGUUGAAAAAUUAGCGGAUGACUUGUGGCUGGGGGUGAAAGGCCAAUCAAACCGGGAGAUAGCUGGUUCUCCCCGAAAGCUAUUUAGGUAGCGCCUCGUGAACUCAUCUUCGGGGGUAGAGCACUGUUUCGGCUAGGGGGUCAUCCCGACUUACCAACCCGAUGCAAACUACGAAUACCGAAGAAUGUUAUCACGGGAGACACACGGCGGGUGCUAACGUCCGUCGUGAAGAGGGAAACAACCCAGACCGCCAGCUAAGGUCCCAAAGUCAUGGUUAAGUGGGAAACGAUGUGGGAAGGCACAGACAGCCAGGAUGUUGGCUUAGAAGCAGCCAUCAUUUAAAGAAAGCGUAAUAGCUCACUGGUCGAGUCGGCCUGCGCGGAAGAUGUAACGGGGCUAAACCAUGCACCGAAGCUGCGGCAGCGACACUAUGUGUUGUUGGGUAGGGGAGCGUUCUGUAAGCCUGCGAAGGUGACCUGUGAGGGUUGCUGGAGGUAUCAGAAGUGCGAAUGCUGACAUAAGUAACGAUAAAGCGGGUGAAAAGCCCGCUCGCCGGAAGACCAAGGGUUCCUGUCCAACGUUAAUCGGGGCAGGGUGAGUCGACCCCUAAGGCGAGGCCGAAAGGCGUAGUCGAUGGGAAACAGGUUAAUAUUCCUGUACUUGGUGUUACUGCGAAGGGGGGACGGAGAAGGCUAUGUUAGCCGGGCGACGGUUGUCCCGGUUUAAGCAUGUAGGCUGAUUGUCCAGGCAAAUCCGGAUAAUCAAGGCUGAGGUGUGAUGACGAGGCACUACGGUGCUGAAGUAACAAAUGCCCUGCUUCCAGGAAAAGCCUCUAAGCAUCAGGUAACAUCAAAUCGUACCCCAAACCGACACAGGUGGUCAGGUAGAGAAUACCAAGGCGCUUGAGAGAACUCGGGUGAAGGAACUAGGCAAAAUGGUGCCGUAACUUCGGGAGAAGGCACGCUGGUGUGUAGGUGAAGUCCCUGCGGAUGGAGCUGAGACCAGUCGAAGAUACCAGCUGGCUGCAACUGUUUAUUAAAAACACAGCACUGUGCAAACACGAAAGUGGACGUAUACGGUGUGACGCCUGCCCGGUGCCGGAAGGUUAAUUGAUGGGGUUAUCCGUAAGGAGAAGCUCUUGAUCGAAGCCCCGGUAAACGGCGGCCGUAACUAUAACGGUCCUAAGGUAGCGAAAUUCCUUGUCGGGUAAGUUCCGACCUGCACGAAUGGCGUAAUGAUGGCCAGGCUGUCUCCACCCGAGACUCAGUGAAAUUGAACUCGCUGUGAAGAUGCAGUGUACCCGCGGCAAGACGGAAAGACCCCGUGAACCUUUACUAUAGCUUGACACUGAACAUUGAGCCUUGAUGUGUAGGAUAGGUGGGAGGCUUUGAAGCGUGGACGCCAGUCUGCGUGGAGCCAACCUUGAAAUACCACCCUUUAAUGUUUGAUGUUCUAACGUUGGCCCCUUACCGGGGUUGCGGACAGUGUCUGGUGGGUAGUUUGACUGGGGCGGUCUCCUCCCAAAGCGUAACGGAGGAGCACGAAGGUUAGCUAAUCCUGGUCGGACAUCAGGAGGUUAGUGCAAUGGCAUAAGCUAGCUUGACUGCGAGCGUGACGGCGCGAGCAGGUGCGAAAGCAGGUCAUAGUGAUCCGGUGGUUCUGAAUGGAAGGGCCAUCGCUCAACGGAUAAAAGGUACUCCGGGGAUAACAGGCUGAUACCGCCCAAGAGUUCAUAUCGACGGCGGUGUUUGGCACCUCGAUGUCGGCUCAUCACAUCCUGGGGCUGAAGUAGGUCCCAAGGGUAUGGCUGUUCGCCAUUUAAAGUGGUACGCGAGCUGGGUUUAGAACGUCGUGAGACAGUUCGGUCCCUAUCUGCCGUGGGCGCUGGAGAAUUGAGGGGGGCUGCUCCUAGUACGAGAGGACCGGAGUGGACGCAUCACUGGUGUUCGGGUUGUCAUGCCAAUGGCACUGCCCGGUAGCUAAAUGCGGAAGAGAUAAGUGCUGAAAGCAUCUAAGCACGAAACUUGCCCCGAGAUGAGUUCUCCCUGAGACUUUAAGUCUCCUGAAGGAACGUUAAAGACGAUGACGUUGAUAGGCCGGGUGUGUAAGCGCAGCGAUGCGUUGAGCUAACCGGUACUAAUGAACCGUGAGGCUUAACCUU